GAUGAACGCUGGCGGCGUGCCUAAUACAUGCAAGUAGAACGCUGAAGGAGGAGCUUGCUCUUCUGGAUGAGUUGCGAACGGGUGAGUAACGCGUAGGUAACCUGCCUGGUAGCGGGGGAUAACUAUUGGAAACGAUAGCUAAUACCGCAUGACGACAGUUAUUGCAUGAUAACUGUUUAAAAGGGGCAACUGCUCCACUACCAGAUGGACCUGCGUUGUAUUAGCUAGUUGGUGAGGUAACGGCUCACCAAGGCGACGAUACAUAGCCGACCUGAGAGGGUGAUCGGCCACACUGGGACUGGGACACGGCCCAGACUCCUACGGGAGGCAGCAGUAGGGAAUCUUCGGCAAUGGGCGGAAGUCUGACCGAGCAACGCCGCGUGAGUGAAGAAGGUUUUCGGAUCGUAAAGCUCUGUUGUAAGAGAAGAACGAGUGUGAGAGUGGAAAGUUCACACUGUGACGGUAUCUUACCAGAAAGGGACGGCUAACUACGUG
rnacentral:rRNA from 1 species